CCGGUGGCUCCUAGGGCGUCACUCGGCCUCUGUCCCCCUGAAGAUCCCCCUGCAACUCCUCCACCGCGGACCAGAGACCCCCCUCUCUGGCUGGCAGACACGGGUGGCUUGUGCCGGCUGGUUUGAAGUACAGGUCAACUAGGAAUACCAAAGGAUUCUACCUGGGACGACAACAAGACAGGACUAGAAUGACUUCAGGAACCCAUCAAAUCACCUCCACGGAGUUGCAAAAUGCUACCACAACACCAACCUGACUUCCCUGGGCAGACAACCUCACCAAUGUGCCCUGGAACCUCACCUUCCCAGAGUCCUAGUCCAUCAAGGCAAGAUAAAAACAGGUGUGGGGGGGUAUGGAUUGAACUGCCAAUGCCAAUGUACAAUAAUAGAAGUCAGAGCUCUCAUCUUCUGCACCCCACAAAGAAUUUUGGUCCAUAAUUCUAUAUGGAUUAAUAAUAGGGAACUUUCCAGUGGAGGAGGUGGGACACACAACUCGUGGUAGGAAUUGUAUGGAAUUGUACCCCUUUUAUCCUGCAAUCUUGUUGAUCAUUAUUAAAUCACUAAUAAAAAGUGUGGAGACUAUAUACACAAGAAGGCUUUUCCAUACAUAAAGUAUUGCUUUCCCUUCCAGCAAUUAUGCAAGUAAUUGUUGAUUAUGAAGCCACAUUGUGGGGCCUGCUUACUAUGUGGCACAAUGGCAGUUAGUGCCAUUGAUGAAAAUCCAAAUAUGAACAAUAGUCAAUAGUCAAACCUUUGGCAUGCUUCCACAAAUUAACCUGAACUUGAAGCAUCAUCAGUAGUUGACCAUUUGGCUUUAUCUUUCUAAUGAAGAUGCUUGAGAUGAAAGCAAAACUUUUGAGAUGUGGAGGUUAUUAUUAAUCUCAUUUUACAUAUAUGAAAACUAAGGCUCAAACAUGUAGAUUAGGAAUAAUAUGUAGUAAAAGCCAGGUUUUGCAAUAAGAUCAAACUUAGUAUAUAACCCAAAGCCUUUUUCAUUCUGGUACAUACAGAAAACUUCUAGUCCUUUACCUAGGCUUUUUCUUCCAUUUCCAUUUAUUUUUAUUAUCUAUUUAUUUAUUUAUUGGAUAGCAACAGCCAAAAAUUGGGAGGGAAAGGGGUGAUAGACAGGGAGAGAGACAGAAAGACACCUGCAACACUG